rnacentral:rRNA from 1 species
CGAAAGCCUGACGGAGCAACGCCGCGUGUGGGAAGAAGGCUCUUGGGCUGUCAACCUCUUUUCUCAGGGAAGAAGACCUGACGGUACCUGAGGAAUCAGCCUCGGCUAACUCCGUGCCAGCAGCCGCGGUAAUACGGAGGAGGCAAGCGUUAUCCGGAAUUACUGGGCGUAAAGCGUCCGUAGGGGGCUCGUCAAGUCUGCUGUCAAAGCUCGGAGCUCAACUCCGACCCGGCAGUGGAAACUGGGGAGCUAGAGGGCGGCAGGGGCAGAAGGAAUUCCCGGUGUAGCGGUGAAAUGCGUAGAUAUCGGGAAGAACACCAGAGGCGAAAGCGCUCUACUGGGUCGCGCCUGACCCUCAGGGACGAAAGCUAGGGGAGCG